UGUGCAGACGACUCGCACUAGCUCCGAAAGAAACAACGCCACAUUCCUCGAGCAAUUCUUGAGCUUUCUUCUUCAUUAAUCUUUCUCAAAUAUCAAACUCCUGUCACACUUACACUGAUUCCACGCGUGAGUCGGAAAUUUAACUUGUUCUGAAAAUCCAGGUCUUACAAUUCACGUCCCUUAUUUUCUUUUCCAGCAACACUUCUUCUUUCUUUCAUUUUCUUUUGCUGAAGCAACCCAUAGGAUAUUUUGAAUUCAGAUAUUUUCUAUCUAUCCUCGUCACGUUCUUAUCUGCUUCUUCUCUAUCCUUUCCUUUACAUAUCUGAAUGAUUAUUAUCAUCACAUUUUGGCACAGCAUAAUCCCAAUCCCCUCACCUCUCGACCCAUUCUCUCUUCUCACCACCAACAUCACCAUUCUUCUUCGUUUUUGUCUCUUCUUGGCAGCAAGCAUCACCGUCAUCUUUCUUUCCCUUGGCAGUCCACGCACACCAUGUUUCUUCUUCUACAAAUCACGUUUUUCUUCUCCUUUCUUCUUCUUCAUUACUUUUCUUUUCUCCAUGGCUGGCCAAACGCACCACAACCCUCUGUCCUUCUUCCUCACAUAGCUCCCUUGGACAGCCACAGUAACCAUAAUCUCUAUGGACUUAUAUGGGUACGAAGGACGAAAGCGCCUUGCGACGAAGCUAAAGAAUAGAAGGAAGCGAGCCGACGCGGAAAACAAAGAUGUGAUAGGAUUGGAGUUGCAGUUUAGGAAGAAAAUUGGCUAAGAUGAAUAUUGCGGACUGGUUCACCAUGGUCCACCCUUCGGGGGGGAUUAGGUACGAGAUGAUAGAUCAGGACGACCCCAGGUCGUGGGUGGUUGACCCCGCGAGCCACCGAGCGACGUAUUCGGGGCGCAUCAUGGAGGACCACGUGGACAGUGGAGGACUCUUGAGGUCAGGAGUGUUGAGGCGAUGCUCUAUCAGCUUCAACUUGCCACCGGGCGUUCACUGCGGACCAGGAUUCGGAGGAGCACCGCCGCCACCGUCAUCUUCAGAGGAGGAGGAUCCCUCAGAGGAGAUUCCAGUGGGAGUGCCUUCGGCAGGGUCUAGUGCACCCUCUGUUGCGAUCA